GCGCCGCUAAAGAAUGCCCCUUUGUUUACCUCUUCAGAACAUGUGGCCACUCGCCAGGUAAAUACUACACUAACACAGAUACCACGGCCUGGCAGCCCCGAUAGGGCACAAACACACGUCUCAUAAUGAAUCAUUGUUCCGCGGAGGCAGACGUGUUCUUAAAGAGCGCGCAGAAAGGAGAAGGUUUAGGACAACUGAGAGCACUGGUGCUCGGCUACAGCAUGCUAUAGCCUAGGUAUUUAAGGGUGCUUUAAGCUAGACAGUCCUGUAAUAGUCUCAUCCCAGAAAAAAUAACGCAAGCUCGAGCGCCUGUGAUGGGAACUCCGGGCUAAUGCGGUGGUUUUACUCCGCACUGCCUCCGCGCUGCCAGAAUGGAGAGGCGGCGAUGAUGGAAUGAGGAGAGAGCCGGGCGGCCCCGGGCCCCGGUGUGUGUAAUCACGGGGCCCCAGCAAUCAGCAGCAGCCCCUCCAGCUGCAAGAAACAUCAACAAACCCGGCGAAGGAACCCGGAGUAUCCUCAGGACAACCGAGCGAGCGCCAUUUUAACUCUCUGAGGAAGAGAUCUGCACAAUCAGCGAGGAGGAGAAAAAUAAGUGUUUCUACGCGAGUGGAGUUUUCCGACAUUAUUGCACUCUUAUGCAUAUUACUGAAGUUCCCCACGGGAAAAUAAAUUCUAUUCUAUUCUAUUAUCCGUGUAAAAAUGAGACUCCGCAACAGAGUAAAUCAACUGUGAUUCCAUUUGCUCCUGUCCUCUAUAUUUGUUUUUAUAUUUGAUUUUGACUAUGUAUUUGAUUAUCAUACUGCAUAUUUCCUUUUCUCUUUUCUGUUGCUUUUUGGCAUUGCCAUUCCUUGUAAAGUGUGUUGAAUUCCAUAUGCUAGAUGAAAUGCACUCAAUAAAUAAAGUUUGAUUGACUGAU